rnacentral:sRNA from 1 species
GAGAGUUGACCUGCCAAACACAGAGUGGAAAAGUAAACAACAUCUACCUUAGCACCCAUGGCUUUCUCAGCAACUUAAAAGAUACGGGGCCUGAUGAACUGAGACUAAUGCUGGCACAGAAUUUAAUGCUAAAAAGGUUUUCUGAUGCUUGGGAAAUGUGCAGGAUUCUGAAUGAUGAGGCUGCCUGGAAUGAGUUGGCCAGAGCUUGUCUACAUCACAUGGAAGUGGAGUUUGCAAUCCGUGUUUAUCGGAGAAUUGGAAAUGUUGGCAUAGUGAUGUCCUUGGAACAAAUAAAGGGAAUAGAGGACUACAAUCUUUUGGCAGGACACCUUGCCAUGUUUACCAACGAUUAUAACCUGGCUCAGGACCUGUACCUUGCAUCCAGCUGUCCUAUUGCUGCCCUGGAGGUAUGGCAGCAAAUAAGAAUGGAAAUUGUGUAAGAGAUGAGAAGGGAUUUACAGCAUUGGGACAGUGCUCUACAACUGGCAAAGCAUUUGGCCCCAGACCAGAUACCUUUUAUAUCAAAAGAAUAUGCUGUUCAGCUUGAAUUCGC